GCGAUUUCAAAUACAAAGAACUAGAAGUAACGGCUCCUUUCCUCAAAGAAAGAAACAACCGCUGUGCAAGAAAAUCUAGUAUGACUUCUCUUAAAAUCUCAAAGGAUUCACAGAGCAACACUAUCAGUUAAUAAAGAAAUGUGGCUCUGUAGUGGACACCUGUGAGGCAGUGGACAGCUGCUGAUGCCUGAUGCUGGCUGACAAUAAACAGACCUCUCUGGACGUAACGUACCCCAUCUUUUGCAG